rnacentral:misc_RNA from 1 species
AACGCACAUUGCGCUUUUGAGCUCGCCUCAUAAGCAUGCCUCUUUCAGUGUUUUAUUACACAAUACUCUUUGCCGGGGCGCAAGUCUCGUAUGCAAAGGACGAUAUGAGAGUCAGGUCAGCCCUCUGGGAUGAUCGUCUCUUGAAGAACAAAGCGGUGGCGUGGUUUACUCCUGCCUCUUGCUCCUAUUGCGAAUGACACUACUUGUUAUUCGCUCAUGUGACAAUUCGCCUCGUUUGCGAUCUUCCAUGGGCUUGAGUACUGGUGCGUGUGAUUAGCGCGGGUGGCAAGGUCGCUCUGUCGUCGGUGACCUCGAUAAGAGGUGAUACGGCGCCACUUUCAAAACAUUUAACCUGAAAUGAGGUAAGGUUACCCGCUGAACUUAA